rnacentral:ribozyme from 1 species
UUUUUUUUUUUUCUUUUUUUUUCUUUUUUUCGUGUGCCAUUGUCUGUAAUCCUCUUA